rnacentral:rRNA from 1 species
UACGUAGGAAGCAAGCGUUGUCCGGAAUCAUUGGGCGUAAAGCGCGCGUAGGUGGCUUCGUAAGUCCGUUGUGAAAGUCAAAGGCUCAACCUUUGAAAGCCGAUGGAUACUGCGGAGCUAGAGUACGGAAGAGGCGAGUGGAAUUCCUGGUGUAGCGGUGGAAUGCGCAGAUAUCAGGAGGAACACCAAUAGCGAAGGCAGCUCGCUGGGACGUUACUGACACUAAGGCGCGAAAGCGUGGGGAGCGAACAGG